rnacentral:rRNA from 1 species
UACAGAGGUCUCAACCGUUGUUCGGAUUCAUUGGGCGUAAAGCGUGCGCAGGCGGUUUCGUAAGUCUGUCGUGAAAUCCCCGGGCUUAACCUGGGAAUGGCGAUGGAGACUGCGAGGCUAGAGUUUGGCAGAGGGGGGUAGAAUUCCACGUGUAGCAGUGAAAUGCGUAGAGAUGUGGAGGAACACCGAUGGCGAAGGCAGCCCCCUGGGUCAAAACUGACGCUCAUGCACGAAAGCGUGGGGAGCAAACAGG